GCAGGGAAUUUUCUGGGUUGAUCUCUGCCCCCACGUCCCACGCAGCAGGCAGGGGGUAAUGGUCAGAGAUGAGGCCUUUUCUAUUACUCACAGCAGCUCUGUGUUUAACCAGUGUUUGCACAGCAGCUGCGAUGAUAACCGGGCACAAAACCAGUUAUCAAAAGUCUGAGCCCACAUCAAUACCCGCAGCCCUGCUCUCCCAAAUUCAUGAAGUUUGAGGUGUCUGCCAGCACCUCUUACCAAGGAAUGACCCCUGAGGGAGACUGAGUGCUGCAGGUGAGGGCUGGCUCACUGGAAGGUGAGCAGCCUCAAGUUCCAUGGAAUCAUCUGGCAUGGAAACCACAGGUCACGUUGACAUUGUUGCUGUUGGCACAGCAUUCCUGCUGCUCUGGGAGGAGAAACACCAGCCUGUUAUUCUGCUGUCCUUUGUUUCUGAUUUAUGGAUCCCUCUAAAGCAGAAGUGAAAGACUUAUUGUGAUGGCAGAAAGAUGAGUCAGUGCCCUGGGUGAGGGGAGAGCAGCAGCUGGAGACACUCACCGAAAAGCAACGCCUCGGAAACCGGAGCAGCUCUCAUGUCCAGCAGUGCCAAGAGAUGCAAUUUCUCCCCUAACAAAAACCACCAGGACACAGGGAGUGGGAAAAGGCUUCCUCAUGACCUGGCAAUUGGCUGCUGAGCGAGUAUUGCCAUGAAAAGCGGAAGAUUUGUGAACGAGCAGCGGACACUGCACAUCCUGCUCCCACCCAGCCCAUCCCGAGGAUGCUCCCAGAGCUGGACUGAGCCUUGCCUGGCCUUGGGCUCCUGGGGAACAACUGAAGAGCUGCUGCUGGUCCUUCUCUGAAACACAGCACAAAGACACAAGGGAAGAUUUAAAUUUGAGCCCCUCAUGCAGGAGGAAUUGCUGACUCGACUCUGAGAAGCACAUUCCCCAUCCAUCUCUGCAUCCCCUCUGAUGUUUUUGGCAUUUAUUUUGGACAAAUAUGAGCAAAGGGGGAUCUGAAGCUGCUCCUGUAGCUUCCUGACCAGGUGAAGCCUCCUGAGGCUUCACAUAAGCAGACUUGUCCCCUAAAGCUUAAGAUGGUUGAAUCACAGAUGGAUAAUUUUCCAGUUCCUUUGAAGUUCCUGAUUAAGCAGUGACUUUUCAUGUAUCUUCAGUACAAAGCCAAUUCCUCAUCUGCCACAAGAGGAGCAAAUGGAAGAGGAUGUGACACCAGCCCAAACAAAGUGCCAGAAGUUUCCACAGAAACCUGUGGAAAUUCCUCUUCAAAUUCUCAGAAAAGUCAAACCUUUCAGGUUCCCUGGCUCCGGAGCACGAAGUGGAGGCACCAUCUCCCUGCAUCUCUGGUUCCAUGAGAGCCCAUUGCAUUUGCCAUUUUGCUGUGCUCUGUGUGCUCCUGGUAUGGGAAGGUCUCAGCCCUCCUUAAGUCAUACACAAGAAACUA